GCCCGGAUGCAUCAACCCGCAAGCGCCAUCUCCGGAUGGGCUCCUGCUGAGGAGCACCAGCAGUCAACACCACCGCUGCUUGCUGACUUGGGAGACACACCAUGUACUGCCUGAUUGAAGCUUGCAGACCACAGUUUGGACCUUGGACCACUGUUGGAGAACCCCUGUUCUAGUAGCUCUCCCAAUCCCUGCUCUACCAAGAGGGAGAGAAAUAAUUGUGAAUAGAUGGCAACUGCUCCUCCUACCUUUGCACCCUUGAUGGGGAGGAAUGCAUCCUGUCCCAAAACAUCCUUCCUCCUGAAUGUGGGAAGGUGAUCUGUUGUUACUCAGUGGUGAGGGAAAGGCAUCCUGCACAACCUCAAAGGGCCUCACAUGUUCCAGGACUCUGAGACAUGGCCCUUGUGUUCAAAACAGAACCUAGUGAAGCCUGGGAAGACUGUUUCAAUAAGAAAAUUCAUGGUUGCCAGUGGCAAAUGUUUAACUCUAGAUAGAUAGAAAAUGGCAGGCUCCUACUUGCCUGAAAAUCACACCUGGUAAUAUUGGCUGCCAGAAACUCUAUAAAUGAUGUGAUAGGACAAUGGUGUGUGCAACAGAAGAAGUACUUUUCUUUAUUUUCUUUAGCCCCAAUUUGAGGGGUUAUUUAGAAGAGAUGCAAAGGCACACCAUUUUACUCAGGCUUUUGGGAACAUUUGAUUACAGCUCAUCGCCUGUUAAUGAUUUUAUUGGUUGUACUGUUGCUUUAGUAAUUCAUUAUGUAAUGUAUGUUACUGUUUUAUUGUUAUAUAACCCGCCCUUGGACCUUUGGUGAAGGGCAGGUAAUAAAUGCAUAUAAUAAAUAAAUAAUUUUAAUA